UGGUGCAGGUGUCAUGAUGGUAACAUGGUGCAGGUGUCAUGAUGGUAACAUGGUGCAGGUGUCAUGAUGGUAACAUGGUGCAGGUGUCAUGAUGGUAACAUGGUGCAGGUGUCAUGAUGGUAACAUGGUGCAGGUGUCAUGAUGGUAACAUGGUGCAGGUGUCAUGAUGGUAACAUGGUGCAGGUGUCAUGAUGGUAACAUGGUGCAGGUGUCAUGAUGGUAACAUGGUGCAGGUGUCAUGAUGGUAACAUGGUGCAGGUGUCAUGAUGGUAACAUGGUGCAGGUGUCAUGAUGGUAACAUGGUGCAGGUGUCAUGAUGGUAACAUGGUGCAGGUGUCAUGAUGGUAACAUGGUGCAGGUGUCAUGAUGGUAACAUGGUGCAGGUGUCAUGAUGGUAACAUGGUGCAGGUGUCAUGAUGGUAACAUGGUGCAGGUGUCAUGAUGGUAACAUGGUGCAGGUGUCAUGAUGGUAACAUGGUGCAGGUGUCAUGAUGGUAACAUGGUGCAGGUGUCAUGAUGGUAACAUGGUGCAGGUGUCAUGAUGGUAACAUGGUGCAGGUGUCAUGAUGGUAACAUGGUGCAGGUGUCAUGAUGGUAACAUGGUGCAGGUGUCAUGAUGGUAACAUGGUGCAGGUGUCAUGAUGGUAACAUGGUGCAGGUGUCAUGAUGGUAACAUGGUGCAGGUGUCAUGAUGGUAACAUGGUGCAGGUGUCAUGAUGGUAACAUGGUGCAGGUGUCAUGAUGGUAACAUGGUGCAGGUGUCAUGAUGGUAACAUGGUGCAGGUGUCAUGAUGGUAACAUGGUGCAGGUGUCAUGAUGGUAACAUGGUGCAGGUGUCAUGAUGGUAACAUGGUGCAGGUGUCAUGAUGGUAACAUGGUGCAGGAAUUGUGACUAACUUAACCGUUCAACAACUGUUAUGUCUCAACCAUUGUCUGACCCUUUUAUUGUGUGUUCUUUCAGUGCCCAAACCUGUUUGUGUCCACAACAAUACUGAAUACACGCUUGGUGAAAAUGUUCCCAACGGCACCUGUGAGGAGUGCAAGUGUGGUCCUAAAAAGGAUCCAGUCUCCAAGCUGUAUGUUGUUGAGUGUGCCCAAAUCAACUGUGACACCACCUGCCCAACGGGUUAUGAGUAUGAAGUCAUACCUGAGAAAUGUUGUGGAACGUGUGUACAGAAGGACUGUGUUGUCGGUCUCCCAGAUGCCACAUCUCACAUCAUUCAGGUGACAUUGAUGAGAUAAUGCACCCAAAUUAGAUUAUUUUUAACAUCAGAUAUCUUUGUGAAAUGUCA